rnacentral:lncRNA from 1 species
CUAAUUUCCUCUUCAGGUCAGGUUGCUUCAGAGGUUUCUGAGUUCCAAGUUGGAGGUCCUUUCUUGAUUUCUAGAUCUCCAGUGCCAAAACUCAGCUUUGGCUUAAACGGUAGCUACUGUUUGGAGGACGCAGAGCUCCUCUGCCGAGGCUGAAACAUGGAUUAUUUUUGUCCUUCUUUGUGAGUACUUGAGGGAUAGUUGGAUGUGGAGCUGCGAGGCCUUUGAACCAUAUUUAGAUUUUUAAUCUGUUUAAUGUCAGGCUGAGAGCAGCGCCAUCCCCCUCUGUUCUGUUUGUCGGUUUCUCUGUUGACGUAUUUAGAUGCCAAGGCAGGUGGAUCUUCUGAGGUCAGGAGUUC